AGUCAUCUCUUACUUCAAGAGAGCAGAUGAAGUCACAAAUUGAAUAGGCUGCCAUCAGCUCCGAUAAAGGGAACAUGAUUUCCACAGAGCAGAGAGACUUGCAGGGCCAGGAGAAGGUAUACCCCUGAGCUGGUGUUGCAGAAAAUGUAAAAGAAGUUCAAUCUUCCUUCUUCCUGCAUAGAAUACUUACUAAACACAUAUUGAGCACAGGCAAGUGAAAGAGAGGAGGCCUCUGGCACAAAAUAAAUGAGAAGCUCAUCCCUGCCCACCAAGAAUUUACAGUCUUAUCGGCAAGAUAUAAAGAACACACAUAAAAAGAACCCGGGAAGAUAUGAAUUUGCACUUGAUUCUUAAUUGACUUCACACAUCCACCUUCAAAGGCUGACAGGUUUCUGAGCCUUCAGAGCUCUGCUGGAAGGGUCUCUAGAAGUCUGGGGCCGAGGGGACCGUUCCAAAAGCAUGACCUUCCUCAUCCAGGCUGCAACAUAGUUUUCAAAAGAGCUUGAGUUCCCUUGAAACCCAGAGAGAAAGGGGAAACUAAGAGCUCAGAGCAGUGGCUUGUUUGUCAGCGUGCUGGGUGUCGGCUAGUACCUACUGUCCAGAGGGGGGCAAGUUAAUUUCAGGUCAGGGUGUCAAGAAUGGGGAAAAUGAUGGUCAAGCACAGUCUCUACUUACCCUCACUGUUGCUUUGGAUUUCUGAUAACUGAAACCUGCAUUGAUGUGCUUUUGAGCUUUCUUUCUGCAUAAUACAAACUGUAAGACUCCCCACUUCUGGAGGCAAAGCAGAGAUAUGGUGGAGAAAAAAGCCGGGCUGGGCUGGGGUCUCUGUGGAAGACUGUCUGGCAAGGGGUGGGGGUGUGAGCUGAACCCAGAGGCUAAAAGGAGAGGCCUGGGAAGGACACUGAUGACAAGCUAGUGGUGUGACCCAGCCUCUGGAGGCUGGCAGUUACCUGACCUAGGAGGAAAGUCCAAGAGGGUCCGAGGCAGCUAUUUGUCCCGGAGAGUGCCUUGAGAGAUCUCCUCAGUUAGAGGCCAAUUCUGGAGCCACCCUUGGGGCUCCUGCGCUGCCUUUAGUUACAAAGCUCAUUUCCAUCUCGAAUUCUGAAUGUGGCAGUGGCCUGCAGCCACUAGGAAGCAUCUGGAACCCAAGGCUCAAGUCACACAGAGCGGAGUCAGAAUUUUCUACAGCACUUCUGGCCCCGUGUUGUUGACAAGUUACCCAGUUCUUCUCUGGUCUUUAUUUUUUUAAGAUUUUAUUUUUA